rnacentral:rRNA from 1 species
ACGGGUGAGUAACGCGUGGGAAUCUACCCUUCUCUACGGGAUAGCUCCGGGAAACUGGAAUUAAUACCGUAUACGUCCUGAGGGAGAAAGAUUUAUCGGGGAAGGAUGAGCCCGCGUUGGAUUAGCUAGUUGGUGGGGUAAAGGCCUACCAAGGCGACGAUCCAUAGCUGGUCUAAGAGGAUGAUCAGCCACAUUGGGACUGAGACACGGCCCAAACUCCUACGGGAGGCAGCAGUGGGGAAUAUUGGACAAUGGGCGCAAGCCUGAUCCAGCCAUGCCGCGUGAGUGAUGAAGGCCCUAGGGUUGUAAAGCUCUUUCAGUGGGGACGAUAAUGACGGUACCCACAGAAGAAGCCCCGGCUAACUUCGUGCCAGCAGCCGCGGUAAUACGAAGGGGGCUAGCGUUGUUCGGAAUUACUGGGCGUAAAGCGCACGUAGGCGGAUAUUUAAGUCAGGGGUGAAAUCCCGGGGCUCAACCCCGGAACUGCCUUUGAUACUGGAUAUCUUGAGUUCGGAAGAGGUAAGUGGAAUUGCGAGUGUAGAGGUGAAAUUCGUAGA